rnacentral:rRNA from 1 species
CCUACGGGUGGCAGCAGUCGAGAAUCAUUCACAAUGGGGGAAACCCUGAUGGUGCGACGCCGCGUGGGGGAAUGAAGGUCUUCGGAUUGUAAACCCCUGUCAUGUGGGAGCAAAUUAAAAAGAUAGUACCACACGAGGAAGAGACGGCUAACUCUGUGCCAGCAGCCGCGGUAAUACAGAGGUCUCAAGCGUUGUUCGGAAUCACUGGGCGUAAAGCGUGCGUAGGCGGUUUCGUAAGUCGUGUGUGAAAGGCGCGGGCUCAACCCGCGGACGGCACAUGAUAAUGCGAGACUAGAGUAAUGGAGGGGGAACCGGAAUGUUCGGUGUAGCAGUGAAAUGCGUAGAGAUCGAGAGGAACACUCGUUGCGAAGGCGGGUUCCUGGACAUUAACUGACGCUGAGGCACGAAGGCCAGGGGAGCGAAAAGGAUUAGAUACCCGGGUAGUC